CCUACGGGCGGCAGCAGUGGGGGAUAUUGGACAAUGGGGGGAACCCUGAUCCAGCGACGCCGCGUGAGUGAAGAAGUAUUUCGGUAUGUAAAGCUCUGUCAGCAGGGAAGAAAGAAAUGACGGUACCUGACCAAGAAGCCCCGGCUAACUACGUGCCAGCAGCCGCGGUAAUACGGAGGGGGCAAGCGUUAUCCGGAAUUACUGGGUGUAAAGGGAGCGUAGACGGUUAAGUAAGUCUGGAGUGAAAGGCCGGGGCCCAACCCCGGGACUGCUCUGGAAACUAUUGAACUUGAGUGCAGGAGAGGUAAGCGGAAUUCGUAGUGUAGCGGUGAAAUGCGUAGAUAUUAGGAGGAACUCCAGUGGCGAAGGCGGCUUACUGGACUGUAACUGACGUUGAGGCUCGAAAGCGUGGGGAGCAAACAGGAUUAGAUACCCCUGUAGUC
rnacentral:rRNA from 1 species